GACGAACGCCGGCGGCGUGCCUAAUACAUGCAAGUAGAACGCUGAAGCUUGGUGCUUGCACCGAGCGGAUGAGUUGCGAACGGGUGAGUAACGCGUAGGUAACCUGCCUGGUAGCGGGGGAUAACUAUUGGAAACGAUAGCUAAUACCGCAUAAAAUUGAUUAUCGCAUGACAAUCAAUUGAAAGGUGCAAAUGCAUCACUACCAGAUGGACCUGCGUUGUAUUAGCUAGUUGGUGGGGUAACGGCUCACCAAGGCGACGAUACAUAGCCGACCUGAGAGGGUGAUCGGCCACACUGGGACUGAGACACGGCCCAGACUCCUACGGGAGGCAGCAGUAGGGAAUCUUCGGCAAUGGACGGAAGUCUGACCGAGCAACGCCGCGUGAGUGAAGAAGGUUUUCGGAUCGUAAAGCUCUGUUGUAAGAGAAGAACGAGUGUGAGAGUGGAAAGUUCACACUGUGAC
rnacentral:rRNA from 1 species